GGCGUAGCUCAGUUGGUAGAGCAGCGCAUUCGUAAUCGCGACGCGGCUGUCGUGGUCACGGAGACAGACGGCAAGCAGCACAAGGCUUUCGGGCCGCCA
rnacentral:tRNA from 1 species